rnacentral:rRNA from 1 species
GUUAUCCGGAAUUAUUGGGCGUAAAGCGUCCGUAGGUGGCUAGUCAAGUCUGCGGUCAAAGACUGGGGCUUAACCCUGGAAAGGCCGUGGAAACUGACGAGCUAGAGUGCAGUAGGGGUAGAGGGAAUUCCCGGUGUAGCGGUGAAAUGCGUAGAGCUCGGGAAGAACAUCGGUGGCGAAAGCGCUCUACUGGACUGCAACUGACACUCAGGGACGAAAGCUAGGGGAGCGAAUGGG